rnacentral:rRNA from 1 species
AAUCAACGCUGGCGGCGUGCCUCAGACAUGCAAGUCGAACGAUUAAACUUUCCUUCGGGAAAGAUAUAAAGUGGCGCACGGGUGAGUAACACGUAGGUAAUGUACCUUUGGGUGGGGAAUAACCAUCGGAAACGAUGGCUAAUACCGCAUAAUGCAGCGGCAUCGCAAGAUGACAGUUGUUAAAAGAUUUUAUCGCCUAAAGAGCAGCCUGCGGCAGAUUAGGUAGNGGUAAGGUAAUGGCUUACCAAGCCUGCGAUCUGUAACCGACCUGAGAGGGU